ACAAUGUACAUACAUGCUUACAGUUGAAUGUAUGUAUGUAUGUAUAUACGUAAAAUUACUUGCCCUGGAAUUGUUCAUUGUGAACGAAAGUAUGUCAGCAGCUUUAGUACAAUAUAAUAGGUAAUAUCAAAGUUAAUAUUUAUAAUAGUUUAAUAAUACCAAGUUCCUUAGGAGCAUUGAGUCAGGAAUAACUGCAGGUGUGGUGGGUCUAGAAAGGUGAAAAAGACUUACCUUGAGAAGAGUAAGUUUACCACACAAACAGGAAGAGCAACCAAGAAAGAAUAGUGCAAAUGACAGAAAAGAGGUAGAUGAAGAUGGAAUAGUAGGUGUGGUGCAAAUCAUGGAAAACUUGUGCCAAGAAUGAUUUUAAACAUGAAAAUGAUGGGUGCCUAGAGGCAGUUAAGACUUAAAGUAGUCUAGGUAAGAGAGAGAAAGGUCAGUGGACAUGAGAGGGAGUACACUGCAAGAGAGUUUCAAAAAUUAAAAGCAGAAAAGCUUGGUAACUCACUUAACUCAUUCUUUCAUUCAGCAGUGUAAGCCUGAAACACUUGCAUAACUGAUCAGCUAGUCAGUCUCCAGCCCUCUCCAGACAGACCCCUCAGAGGUCAGACAAAUACAGGACGGACCCGAGUCGCAGGCAGAAAAGAAUAGGUGUUCGCCGUAAAUCAUAUCAUUAGAGUGGCCUAGGUGUAAGGCAUGCAGAGGCACUCUUAGCUGGCAGAGUAGUCCAUGGGCUUGGAGGAGCACAGGAGCUGAACAGGCGACGGUCCUGGCACACUUUGGAAUGUGCAAUCCAGUCUGCCAUGCUAACCCUUAGCUGCACACUGCACACCUACAGUAAGAAAAGUCUGAUUUGUUAAGGGGAGUGGAGGCAAGGACAUUUGACUAGGAAGUUCUGCAUUACAGAAGGGUUAAACUGGAUGUCUCAGAUACUCUAUGGGCCUAAGAUUCUGUGACUUCCAGGCAGUUUAUAAAAUCCCUUCAUCUCAGCACCC
rnacentral:lncRNA from 10 species